rnacentral:rRNA from 1 species
GUCACACCACGAGAGUUUGUAACACCCGAAGCCGGUGGAGUAACCUUUUAGGAGCUAGCCGUCGAAGGUGGGACAAAUGAUUGGGGUGAAGUCGUAACAAGGUAGCCGUAUCGGAAGGUGCGGCUGGAUCACCUCCUUUCUAAGGA